UGCGUAGAUAUCGGGAGGAACACCCGUGGCGAAGGCGGCCUUCUGGGCUGUUCCUGACGCUGAAGGCGAAAGCUAGGGGAGCGAACGGGAUUAGAUACCCCGGUAGUCCUAGCUGUAAACGAUGGAUGCUGGGUGUGGGGGGUGUAAAUUCCCUCUGUGCCGAAGCAAACGCGUUAAGCAUCCCGCCUGGGGACUACGGCCGCAAGGCUAAAACCCAAACGAAUUGACGGGGGCCCGCACAAGCAGCGGAGCGUGUGGUUUAAUUCGAUGCUACACGAAGAACCUUACCUGGGUUUGACAUGCACGUGGUAGGGAACCGAAAGGGGACCGACCUUCGGGAGCGUGCACAGGUGCUGCAUGGCUGUCGUCAGCUCGUGCCGUGAGGUGUCGGGUUAAGUCCCGUAACGAGCGCAACCCUUGCCCUUAGUUACAAGUGUCUAAGGGGACUGCCCGGGACAACUGGGGGGAAGGUGGGGAUGACGUCAAGUCAGCAUGGCCUUUAUAUCCAGGGCUACACACACGCUACAAUGGCCGGUACAAUAGGUUGCGAAGUCGUGAGGCGGAGCCAAUCCUCAAAGCCGGUCUCAGUUCGAAUUGCAGUCUGCAACUCGACUGCAUGAAGCUGGAGUUGCUAGUAAUCGCAGGUCAGCUAUACUGCGGUGAAUACGUUCCCGGGCCUUGUACA
rnacentral:rRNA from 1 species